AUGCAUGAUCUUGAGGACAAUACUGUUCCAGAGAUACAAAGAACCAACCUUGCAAAUGUUGUUCUUACAAUUAAGAGUCUUGGUAUUCAUGACUUGGUUAAUUUUGAUUUUAUGGACCCACCUCCUUCAGAGGCCUUGUUGAAGGCCCUGGAACAACUUUUUGCUCUUAGUGCACUCAACAGUCGUGGAGAGUUGACCAAGACUGGAAGACGAAUGGCAGAGUUUCCACUAGAUCCUAUGCUGUCAAAGAUGAUAGUAGCUUCAGAGAAAUAUAAGUGUUCUGAUGAGGUCAUGUCCAUUGCGUCAAUGCUGUCGAUCGGCAAUUCUAUAUUCUACCGUCCGAAGGACAAACAGGUUCAUGCAGAUAAUGCAAGGUUGAACUUCCACACUGGGAACGUUGGGGACCACAUAGCAUUGAUCAAUGUCUAUAACUCAUGGAGAGAAACGGACUUCUCGACUCAAUGGUGUUAUGAAAAUUAUAUCCAGGUCCGCAGCAUGAAGAGAGCAAGAGACAUUCGAGAUCAACUGGAGGGACUUAUGGAGAGAGUUGAGAUUGAGGUCUGUUCAAAUGCCAGUGACUUGGAUGCUAUUAAAAAGGCUAUAACAUCCGGUUUCUUCCACCAUUCUGCACGGUUGCAGAAGAAUGGUUCAUAUAGAACUGUCAAGAACCCUCAGACGGUCUUUAUCCACCCUAGUUCAGGAUUAGCACAGCUACUUCCUCGUUGGGUAAUAUACCACGAACUAGUUCUCGCGACAAAAGAGUACAUGCGCCAGGUGACGGAACUGAAGCCCGAAUGGCUGGUGGAAAUUGCUCCGCACUACUACCAACUAAAAGAUGUGGACGACGCUGGUUCAAAGAAGCUGCCCAAGGGCCAAGGACGAGCUGCAUUGUAG
rnacentral:rRNA from 1 species